GGAGGGUGCAAGCGUUAUCCGGAUUCACUGGGUUUAAAGGGUGCGUAGGUGGGCAGGUAAGUCAGUGGUGAAAUCUCCGGGCUUAACCCGGAAACUGCCAUUGAUACUAUCUGUCUUGAAUACCGUGGAGGUGAGCGGAAUAUGUCAUGUAGCGGUGAAAUGCUUAGAUAUGACAUAGAACACCAAUUGCGAAGGCAGCUCACUACACGAAUAUUGACACUGAGGCACGAAAGCGUGGGGAUCAAACAGGAUUAGAUACCCUGGUAUGUCCACGCCCUAAACGAUGGAUACUCGACAUACGCGAUACACAGUGUGUGUCUGAGCGAAAGCAUUAAGUAUCCCACCUGGGAAGUACGACCGCAAGGUUG
rnacentral:rRNA from 1 species